UACGUAGGGGGCAAGCGUUGUCCGGAAUCAUUGGGCGUAAAGAGCGUGUAGGCGGCUCGGUAAGUCCGCUGUGAAAGUCCAGGGCUCAACCCUGGAAUGCCGGUGGAAACUGUCGAGCUAGAGUCCGGAAGAGGCGAGUGGAAUUCCUGGUGUAGCGGUGGAAUGCGCAGAUAUCAGGAGGAACACCGAUGGCGAAGGCAGAUCUCUGGGCCGUAACUGACGCUGAGGAGCGAAAGCGUGGGGAGCGAACAGG
rnacentral:rRNA from 1 species